rnacentral:piRNA from 1 species
UGACAUAAACCAUAAGAAACCUGCCU